GGCGAAUAGGGCCCUGAGCAGACCGUGCCUUUAGUCCGGGGAAGCUCCGGGUUUAGGUGGGUCUCUCGGUUGGGCUUUCCCCCACCAAGGACCCCUUUUUCCCCUGCAGAAGCCACGUUUGCAGCACCACAUCCCCCGGAUGACCGUGCCCGCUGACUCACCGGAGGCUUCAUAACUCGGGAGGCUCUGUCCAUUUCUCACAUCCACAAGUCCAUCUUCUCUUGGCUCAAAGCUCUCCCUUGGGUACACUGUAUCAGGAAUGGGAUAAGAUCUGCGGUUAAUACUGUGAUCAGGAAGCUGCAAAUGGAACUGGAGCAGAGAAAAAGAGGAAAGAAGAAGUGUUAACUAGGGGGUCCUGUUAAAAGGGGGAAACUGCCUCCAGAAGCCUGGCUCAGCUCCAGGCAAGAGAGAAACAGACUGGGGGAGCUGGCAGAUCAGGGAAGUUACAGUCACUGAGUCAUUCUGGUGAAGUUUGGCCUGGUUCUGUGAAACUGAGCCACCGGCCUCCAACUCUGGGAUCAGUAGCCCCAGGCCCUUGUCUUUGCAGAGUUCUUAGUGGUUGGCAGCAUCCUGGAACAUCCAAGGAAGGAUACGCUCUAGAGUGGGGCUAGCAGCUGCCAAGGCUUCUAAAAAGACCUCAAAAUCCACCAGCCUCAUGGCAAAGAAGAACAAGUCCCAACUUUUCUUGCUUCAGAGCCCUGGAGGAGCUAUUUGAACUGCUGUCCAGACCCCCAGCUGUGCACAGCCAUUCCAGGACCAAGUGGAUGCCAAGGUGCCUGACAGAGCUGAGUUGUGCUGGAAACACAAAACCGUCCAACCAUUCACUGAGAAAUUCUACCCAGGACCCAGGGAACCAGGUUUUCUUCCAGCUCUUCUGCAAAACAAAGAAUAGAGAAGUGGAUGCAUGUUCGAUUCCUGCACUCCCCGCCUACAGACCUCAGAGCCCAGGCCAUGGCAGUAUUGCAAAGGGACAACAAACCCAUGGGUCCCUCCAGAAUGGACUGUAAAUGAAAUAUGUUCUAGUGUCUUUAAAGAAUAAAAUAGAAAUUUAUUUAAAAGUGUUGCAAAAUUCAUAGUAGCUCAUGAAUAUGUAUUUCUCCAACACC
rnacentral:lncRNA from 1 species